rnacentral:miRNA from 1 species
AGGCUGGGCUAUAGGCCCGUGGGC